GACGAACGCUGGCGGCGUGCUUAACACAUGCAAGUCGAACGGAAAGGCCCUGCUUUUGUGGGGUGCUCGAGUGGCGAACGGGUGAGUAACACGUGAGUAACCUGCCCUUGACUUUGGGAUAACUUCAGGAAACUGGGGCUAAUACCGGCUAGGUGCUCCUGCUGCAUGGUGGGGGUUGGAAAGUUCCGGCGGGUGGGGAUGGACUCGCGGCUUAUCAGCUAGUUGGUGGGGUAGUGGCUUACCAAGGCUUUGACGGGUAGCCGGCCUGAGAGGGUGACCGGCCACAUUGGGACUGAGAUACGGCCCAGAGUCCUACGGGAGGCAGCAGUGGGGAAUAUUGCACAAUGGGCGGAAGCCUGAUGCAGCGACGCCGCGUGCGGGAUGACGGCCUUCAGGUUGUAAACCGCUUUCGCCUGUGACGAAGCGUGAGUGACGGUAAUGGAUAAAGAAGCACCGGCUAACUACGUG
rnacentral:rRNA from 1 species